UUUCCCAGAACCACACCCAAACCCUCUUCAACCCCCUGUGUGUGGGCUGUGGCAGGGGUCAACCUCUUGUGUUCAGGUCCCCUAGGGGCCCACCCCACUCUACUAGGAACCAGGGGUCGGAUGCUGUCAGGGGAAGCCGUGUGGCUUGAGGAGUCGAGACCCUUUCCAAAUCCACCCCUGUGGAAUCUUGAGCAAAUCCCCACACCCAACUUAGCUUCAGUGUGGUGGAGGUGGGCCCAGCGCCUCUCUUGAGGGAGUGCUGCUGUAGGUACCUUCCAGCAGGCCAGGCUCCUGAGCUGGGAUCACCAUGAAGCUGGCAUCUCUCCUGGUAGCACCUAUUCUGGGGCCUUGAGCUCCGACACUCUUACGCUGGAGUUGAACUUAAGCUGCAGCGGGAGGGCUUUAAGCUAGACCCGCAGAAUUUGAGCUCUAAGGACUUGCUUAAGAUUGGGAGAGUAACUUCUUCUGCAAGGGGGCCAGCAGAGGGGCUCUCGGGUUGAAGGAGGGUUAUGCUGGCCCAAGCAUUGCCAUCAUAGCCACAGCUGGGCUGUGCCUCAGAGUCUGCAGGAGCAGGGCCCUUGGCCUUGGCUCCCAGGACAGUUGGGAGAUGGAGGGCAGCCCCAGUAGCUGCCAUCUUCCUGUCAUCUACCCACACGUCUCCAGAUCUGUUUGCCUGCAUCAGGGCCUGACUCCUGCCCCACAUGGGCCUGUGUACCAUUCAAGAAGAAAGCUUAGCUGUCUCCAACCCCGGCAUUCCCACAAGGGAAAGCUUGAGAUCUGCUGAGGGAGGGUCCUGGGAAGAGGCCUUCUUCUGUUCUCCUGUACAGCAGAGGUGUUGGCAUGUGCACGUGUGUGUCUGCAUGUGUGUGCAUCUGUGAACAUCUGUCUGUGGCUCUCGUUCUGAGCACCUGUGUGUCUCCGCUUCUGCCUUGUUCUGUCUUGGCACCUCUGGGUGUCUGUAUGUCUUUUUCUAAUCCUGGCUCUCUUCUUGUGCUUCUCUGGGCCUCGUCUUUUCAUCUUUGUGUUUUUUGCUUACUGUAUUGUAAUAUCCAUUUCCAUGCUGGAAUUCUCCUACCAGACCAUGGGCUCUGUGAGGGCAAAGACUGUCUUUUAUCUUCCCAUGUGUGCACAUAGUAGGAGCCUAGUACAUUUCUGUGGAGUAAAUGAAUGGAGAUCUGGCUCUGUUAAGAAUCCCUUAGUGUCUGUGUCUCUGGCUGCCUGACUUUCUGGGUCUCUGUGACCCUCAGAAGCUAGUUUUGUGGUUCUGUGUAGGGGUAUACCUGGUUUAUUCCCAUGCAUAUGUGUAUUUCUUGUGGUAGUUUUUCUCUCCUUGUCUAUGUCUGUUUCAGGUUUGUUGAUCUGCCUGAAUGUCUCUGCAUGUGGCCCCACAUCUCUCCUCAUGCCUGCUGGUCUCAGAGUAUAAUGGAUGCUGAGUCCAAAGCAGGUGUUUCCUGGGCAUUCGUGGCAGGGGAAUUGGACUUCCAAAUCUGCCCCCUCUCCACGUGGGUGAGCUUCUCCCAGACUCUCCAUCAUAAGAGGCUGUGAGCACCCGAAACUGAUCACCUUCUCAGCCUAGAAUGGGAGUGAGCUGUGGUCCUCUCCCUCUCUUCCUCUCACUGUGACCCCAAUCACAGCACCUGCCCUUCUCUAAUUGGCUGAUGUCAAUGGAAGGGGGAAGGGAAGGCUGAUGUCCAAGGAGGAAAUCCCAUUAGGUGAGCCAGAGCCAAGUUAUUAGUGGUUAAGAUGUAAUUGGAGUUGGUGAAUAAUCUCAUUCAAUUCAUCACGUAUUUAUGGCGCAUCCAGCUGUGUGACCUUGGGUGCGGUGUUUCACCUCUCUGAUGAAAUAAGACCUUAAUGUUUGCCAAGGACCCUGGAUUUCUGAGAUUCUGAGUCCCUGAAGCUGGAAGGAAUCUCUACCGAAUUCCGAUCACUUGCUGCUGCCUCUCUCCUUGCUUCUGAGUUAUUUGUGCAAUUACCUGCAUUCCCUCCUAAACUCUACAUUCCUUCAGGCCAGGGUCUUAUAUAACUAUCCCCCACAGUUUAGUGCCUUGCACACAGUGGGUGAUUUAUCAGUUUUUCUGAAUGGAUGACUGAAUGCUAGGCACUGUGAUUAAUAACAAAGAAAUAGAAUUAGAAGCCCUGUGCUUAGGCAGUAUACAAUUUUAGGGGAACGGGGAGGGCGGAGAUGACCUUUGCACUUUAUAUUAUAGCUUUGGGAACUUGUGUGAGUUCCUCAGCCUCUUUGUGCCUCUAUCUCCUCAUUAAUAACAUGCAAAUAAUAACGGCUACUAACUAAGGAUUUUGUGAGGAUUAAAUGUGAUCGUAUGUACAGUUAAAUCCUUCGUGUAGUGUUUGGCACUUAGUAGAUCCUUAAUUAAUGUGUGUUCCUGCUCUAUUCCCAACUAGAGAACAAGCACCAAGCCCUGUGGAUUUCAGAAGAUGAGGAAACUGAGGCCUAGGAGAGUUAAAGGACCGCCCAAGACCACACCACCGCACAGAGACACCAGGACUGAACGCUUGUGUCUUCUGACUUGCAGCUUCCAGCAGCCUGGAUCAUGCUCUUCUUACCUCAUCUGGGUAGCAAGAGAAGGCUGCUCUAAAGCUACCUUACUCCCAGGUUGCAGGAGCAGAACCAAGACGUUCAGAUCCCUUGAGGAAGAGAAUGGCUCAGCAUGAGGGGGCCUCACCCAGAGCCCUGGGUCUGCUCUGAGCCCCUCACUUAAAGAGGGAAGCUGACCAAAUGAGCAGAACAGAGCAACAGAGCAAGUGGCACCAGAGAGACCACCCACGGAGGGCACUUCGUGAAGAGCGAGGAUUGGCUCUGACCAGUGCUUAUCAGCAGGCACACAGGUAGUUGAAAACAAAUCCCAGAUAUCAGGUGACUUCAUGUGGAAUGACUUCACCCCCGCUAGGUGCCCAGGAGCCCUGGAGAUAAUGAAGCUUCUGAGAUCCAAGCGAGAAGGUGAAUGUGCAGCUUCUGGUGCGGUGCCCAGCACGGAGUUGGUGGACAGUGACCUGGAGCUCCCCACUUGCUCUGUCUCCUGACUGAAGCCAUCCUCAUCUCUCUCCUGGACUGUGAAACCUGGCUUCCCACUGGUUUCCACCUCACCUCACCCCUCUCCAAAGAACCCAUUGUCCCCAGCUGCCAGAGGCUCUUUCUAAGCCCAGAGCCCUCCAUCGAGACAGGCCCUGUCUCAGAACUCCAGCUGACUUCCCACCAUGUUUGAGUCAUGUCCAGCCCCAUCCUCUACGGCCCUCCACCACCGUCCACCUCAAUUCUCCUGCCUCAUGCCCCGUCCUCAGGCUUCCUGUCCACCCACCGUAGACUGAGCCUACCUCGUCCACCGCCUCACCCUUCCCCACAUGCGCUGUGCAAACUGCUACCUCCUCUUCUUUGCUCCCUCUGCCUGGAAUGGAUGCUUGUUGAAAUUUCAGCUUUCUUCCCAGGUAUUCACCCCCGAUGACGUCACCUCUUUGAAGCCCUCCUUUGUGAUCCCAUGGAGCUUCACAUCUACCAUGUUUGGGACUCAGAUCUUUGCCUCAUCUGUCAGUGGUGUAGGAGGGUCUGUAGGUGCUUUCAAGGUGGAGUCCAGGUCCUAAGCAUCUCUGUCCCUCAAUACCUCUCUAGUUUCCAAGUCUUGGCACUGCAGAAGGAUGAUACCUGGUGCAUGGUCGGGGGGAGCGUCCUGCUGUUUCUAAAUCUCAUGACCAAGUCAACUGCCUGCUCCAGCUGUGGGAGAGAAUGGGCAGCUGCCCA
rnacentral:lncRNA from 1 species